CCAGAGAGUUGACUGCCAUUCUAACCUUGACUCCUCCACUCCAGCGCCCCCCAAGCUUGGGCCACACCCUAGAGCCUGGUUUUCAAACCACAGGCCACCCCAGCCCCUUCCAGUUUCAGGAAAGCAGUUUAGUUGAUUCUUGUCAGCAUGAAAAACAAAGCAAAGAAAAAAAAAUGAACAAGCCAAAACAAAUCACUAAAGAGAAACAGAACAGGAAGGACGAGGCUCUCCUGCAUGGUGAAGAUUGGAGUCUCCUGGGCUGGAGAGGAACAGAAGAGAUCCUAGCAUGGAGCUCUGUGGAGUACGUGCUUGUGAAAUAACUAUUUGAACCCGACAAACAUUUAAUCCGCCCAAGUGGCCCCUGCCUUCUUCCCUGAUCUAAGGGUCACCACUGCUCUGCUCUUGGCCUUGAUAAAAGAUCAAGAGUAACUUGAAAGGAAACAACAGCCCCCAACCCUCCCUGAACGACA